GAUAGCGAACAAGUACCGUGAGGGAAAGGUGAAAAGCACCCCGACAAGGGGAGUGAAAUAGAACCUGAAACCGGAUGCCUACAAACAGUCGGAGCCCGCAAGGGUGACGGCGUACCUUUUGUAUAAUGGGUCAACGACUUAGUGUAACAAGCAAGCUUAAGCCGGUAGGUGUAGGCGAAGCGAAAGCGAGUCUGAAUAGGGCGAUUUAGUUUGUUGCAUUAGACCCGAAACCGAGUGAUCUAGCCAUGAGCAGGUUGAAGGUUGGGUAACACCAACUGGAGGACCGAACCCGCAUCUGUUGCAAUAGAUUGGGAUGACUUGUGGCUAGGGGUGAAAGGCCAAUCAAACUCGGAAAUAGCUGGUUCUCCGCGAAAUCUAUUUAGGUAGAGCGUCGAGCGAAUACCCCCGGGGGUAGAGCACUGGAUGGGCUAUGGGGACUCACCGUCUUACUGAUCCUAACCAAACUCCGAAUACCGGGGAGUACUACUCGGCAGACACACGGCGGGUGCUAACGUCCGUCGUGAAAAGGGCAACAACCCUAACCUCCAGCUAAGGUCCCCAAGUCAUGGCUAAGUGGGAAAGGAUGUGAGGAUCCCAAAACAACCAGGAUGUUGGCUUAGAAGCAGCCAUCAUUUAAAGAAAGCGUAACAGCUCACUGGUCUAAAUAAGGGUCUUUGCGCCGAAAAUGUAACGGGGCUGAAGCCAUGCACCGAAGCUGAGGAUUUGCGAGCAAUCGCAAGUGGUAGCGGAGCGUUCCGUAAGCUGAUGAAGGGAGACCUGUGAGGGCUCCUGGAGGUAUCGGAAGUGCGAAUGUUGACAUGAGUAACGAUAAAGAGGGUGAGAGACCCUCUCGCCGAAAGACCAAGGGUUCCUGCUUAAAGUUAAUCUGAGCAGGGUUAGCCGGCCCCUAAGGCGAGGCAGAAAUGCGUAGUCGAUGGGAACCACGUUAAUAUUCGUGGGCCUGGUGGUAGUGACGGAUUGCACAAGUUGUUCUGGUUUAUUGGAUUAUCAGGGCAGCGGAGCGGUUCCAGGAAAUAGCUCCACCGUAUAGACCGUACCCGAAACCGACACAGGUGGUCAGGUAGAGUAUACCAAGGCGCUUGAGAGAACUAUGUUGAAGGAACUCGGCAAAUUGCACGCGUAACUUCGGAAGAAGCGUGACCCCAUUUUACGCAAGUAUGAUGGGGUGGCACAGACCAGGGGGUAGCGACUGUUUAUCAAAAACACAGGGCUCUGCGAAGUCGCAAGACGACGUAUAGGGUCUGACGCCUGCCCGGUGCUGGAAGGUUAAGAGGAGAGGUGCAAGCUUUGAAUCGAAGCCCCAGUAAACGGCGGCCGUAACUAUAACGGUCCUAAGGUAGCGAAAUUCCUUGUCGGGUAAGUUCCGACCUGCACGAAUGGCGUAACGACUUCCCCGCUGUCUCCAACAUAGACUCAGUGAAAUUGAAUUCCCCGUGAAGAUGCGGGGUUCCUGCGGUCAGACGGAAAGACCCCGUGCACCUUUACUAUAGCUUUACACUGGCAUUCGUGUCGGCAUGUGUAGGAUAGGUGGUAGGCUUUGAAGCGGGGACGCCAGUUUCCGUGGAGCCAUCCUUGAAAUACCACCCUUAUCGUCAUGGAUGUCUAACCGCGGCCCGUCAUCCGGGUCCGGGACAGUGUAUGGUGGGUAGUUUGACUGGGGCGGUCGCCUCCGAAAGAGUAACGGAGGCGCGCGAUGGUGGGCUCAGACCGGUCGGAAAUCGGUCGUCGAGUGCAAUGGCAUAAGCCCGCCUGACUGCGAGACUGACAAGUCGAGCAGAGACGAAAGUCGGUCAUAGUGAUCCGGUGGUCCCGCGUGGAAGGGCCAUCGCUCAACGGAUAAAAGGUACGCCGGGGAUAACAGGCUGAUGACCCCCAAGAGUCCAUAUCGACGGGGUUGUUUGGCACCUCGAUGUCGGCUCAUCGCAUCCUGGGGCUGGAGCAGGUCCCAAGGGUUUGGCUGUUCGCCAAUUAAAGCGGUACGUGAGCUGGGUUCAGAACGUCGUGAGACAGUUCGGUCCCUAUCUGCCGUGGGUGUAGGAAUAUUGACAGGAUCUGUCCCUAGUACGAGAGGACCGGGAUGGACAUAUCUCUGGUGGACCUGUUGUCCUGCCAAGGGCAUAGCAGGGUAGCUAUAUAUGGACGGGAUAACCGCUGAAGGCAUCUAAGCGGGAAACCCACCUGAAAACGAGUAUUCCCUAUCAGAGCCGUGGAAGACGACCACGUUGAUAGGCCGGGUGUGGAAGUGCGGCAACGCAUGAAGCUUACCGGUACUAAUAGCUCGAUUGGCUUGAUCGU
rnacentral:rRNA from 2 species